CAAUUUUUUACAAUAAUUAGAUGAAGCUGUUCAAUUCAGUUUGGUCUG
rnacentral:rRNA from 1 species